rnacentral:rRNA from 1 species
GAUGAAUGCUGGCGGCGUGCCUAACACAUGCAAGUCGAGCGGCAGCGCGGUCUUCGGACUGGCGGCGAGCGGCGGACGGCUGAGUAACGCGUGGGAACGUACCCCAAAGUGAGGAAUAACUGCCCGAAAGGGUAGCUAAUGCCGCAUAUGGUCUUCGGAUUAAAGGAUUUAUCCGCUUUGGGAACGGCCUGCGUACGAUUAGAUUGUUGGGGAGGUAAUGGCUCACCAAGUCGACGAUCGUUAACUGGUCUGAGAGGAUGAUCAGUCAGACUGGAACUGAGACACGGUCCAGACUCCUACGGGAGGCAGCAGUGAGGAAUCUUCCACAAUGGGCGAAAGCCUGAUGGAGCAACGCCGCGUGCAGGAUGAAGGCCUUCGGGUCGUAAACUGCUUUUAUAAGUGAAGAAUAUGACGGUAACUUAUGAAUAAGCACCGGCUAACUACGUGCCAGCAGCCGCGGUAACA